UUAAGUAUUGAACUUAGCAUUUAGAAAGGGAGGGAGAUUUAUUCGAGCUACAUGUUUCUUUUAAAUGGGGACGGUUGAAGCUGGCUGACCGCGAGGAGAAGGAGAGGCGCAACCGCUGUGUUCGGCCGGAUCGAAUAGGGCCGACGGUGACAGAAUUCUGCUGCUCACCGGACGAGGUCAGGGGAGAACCCCGGCGAUAACAACAACUCGCUGAGCCAGGGUCGGCAACACGACGAUGCAGUGACCCUCGCCGAUUCCAGAGUAACGAUCGAUGCGACAACUUCACAAAGGUGAAAAUAGGUGGCGUCUUCGGCUUCGCUUCUAGAGAAAGAGGGACGGCGCUGAACGCCGGAUUUCAGAAGCCACGACGAUGAUUCCAGGGGAAUUUCAGAGGCAGAGGUGGUGGACGCUGAUGAAGAAGGAUUAGGGCUCGAUUUUGUGCUCCACUGAAAUUGAAGGAUAAGGGACAACAUCAGAGACGAGGGCGUCGGCAUCGCCGAUUCCCGAAUCACCCAGAUUCAGGGGCGCGACCACUCGCCUGUCCUUCGACGGCGGCGGCGAACUCUGAUGAGAGGGGGAGUCGGCCCGAUUUGGUGAAAGGAUCGAAGCAGUGGCGGCGAAUCUCCCGGCCUUCCAGUUGCGGCGGCGGCGGGCGCCUCGGCUGGAGACGGAUCGAGAGAGAGAGAGAACCGAAGGGAACGGCUCCAAGAGAGAGAAAAAAAGAAGCAUCGGCCUUGAGGAAGAGAGGGAGUGUCGGUUCUUUGAGAAAGAGAGAGUGACCGAGAGUUAGAAAAUGAGAGAGAGGUUGAUGAGUUGGGUUGGGCUCCAGCUUUGGGCCUUGUAUUUUUUUUAAGUUGGGCCGAAAAUUUUGAGCUUGUGUUUUAAAGAUUUGGGCUUGAUUUUAUUGUAAUGACUUGG
rnacentral:lncRNA from 1 species